UUCGGUCCCUAUCCGUCGUGGGCGUAGGAAAUUUGAGAGGAGCUGUCCUUAGUACGAGAGGACCGGGAUGGACAUACCUCUGGUGUACCAGUUGUCGUGCCAACGGCAUAGCUGGGUAGCUAUGUGUGGACGGGAUAAGUGCUGAAAGCAUCUAAGCAUGAAGCCCCCCUCAAGAUGAGAUUUCCCAACUUCGGUUAUAAGAUCCCUCAAAGAUGAUGAGGUUAAUAGGUUCGAGGUGGAAGCAUGGUGACAUGUGGAGCUGACGAAUACUAAUCGAUCGAAGACUUAAUCAAAA
rnacentral:rRNA from 1 species